rnacentral:lncRNA from 1 species
CUCUCUGCAGAUACGCCGCGCUAUGUGCAGUGUUAUGCAUCGCCAAAGUUUGAAUGCAUGAACGGACAGCUUGAGAAAGCUCGUGCACAACGUGUACGUACGUAUAUAGAUAUCUACCUAUACAGCCGCAUACAUAGGCUAAACAGAAUUCUCUCUCCACCCGAGGGAGACUCCGAAGCGAUACGGAAUAUAAUGUAUUGUAGUAUAAUAGAGGAGCGGCAAUAUACCAGCAGAUAUAAUCGUCCAACGAAACGGUAUAUUAUAAUACCGGUGGUGCGGACAUUUCAACAGCCGGUGGUUUCAACGUCACCCGUCAGUUGUCAGCGACUCUAUAUCCUGUAAACACACCGAUGCGCAACGAGGAGGUCCUCUAAUGACUCGAUAGUAUUUCAACAGACGUCCUCCACGGAACAUCCGAAUUCCCAGCCGCAGCCGAUAGCGAAAAACUUGGAGAAAAAGUGACGACUGAUUCGCCAGAGCUAAUUAAACUCCCAACGAUGAUCAACAUUCACGAAAUGCGCGCAGGAAGCUCGCGCUGAAACGAGAUAAAGCUGGCGAGUGAGUUGCAGGGGUUGGGGAGGAAAAGGAAAAGAAGAAAGGGCGGAAUAUUGGCUGAAUAUGAUGAGAAUCCCUCGAGCUGAAAUGAGCUUCGCUAUACAUAUGUAUAUCGCGAAUCGCUCCCCGGGCUUUCAAUUAUGAGAAAGGCGUCCCUAAUACUCGCGUCGGUUUCAACUUCAACCCCUCAAGUCCGUACACCACUUUCACCGUGCAAGAUAAAGCCUGACACAGAACCGCUUAGUUUGUGGUUUUCGUGCGAUAGAAAGUCGAUGUCGUUGUUUCCCAUCACCUGAGAACUGGCUGACUUUCAACCCUUGCCGCCCCCCAAACGAACCGAAGUUGACCCGGUCUUCCGUCUUGGAUUCGACGGCAGUUCGGCUUCGGCGACAGGAGCGGCGACAUCAGGAGCGACAUCAAAAUAAACAAGGCAGGUUCCUCAGAGCGACGAUGGAGAGAGAG